rnacentral:rRNA from 1 species
GGGGAAUAUUGGGCAAUGGAGGAAACUCUUACCCAGCAAUGCCGCGUGAAGGAAGAAGGUUUUCGGAUUGUAAACUUCUGAUAUAGGUGACGAAGAAUGACGGUAGCCUAUAAGGAAGCCCCGGCAAACUAUGUGCCAGCAGCCGCGGUAAUACAUAGGGGGCGAGCGUUGUCCGGAAUGACUGGGCGUAAAGGGAGUGUAGGGGGUUGUGUAAGUUAUAUGUGAAAGCCCGGGGCUUAACUCCGGAAUUGCAUAUAAGACUGCAUGACUUGAGUGUGGGAGAGGAAAGUGGAAUUCCUAGUGUAGCGGUGGAAUGCGUAGAUAUUAGGAGGAACACCAGCGGCGAAGGCGGCUUUCUGGACCAUAACUGACGCUGAGGCUCGAAAGCGUGGGGAGCAAAC